UAGCCCUCGACAUAGGCACCGGUGCAAAUGAUCACCCGGUACCAAAAGCCGGCCUCUCGCUUCUCGAUAUUUCCAAGUCCCUGACAACUCCUCACUCUUAUCUCUACCCUCUCAUUUCUCCACCUCUCAUCUCUCUCUGCCUUAUCCUCUCUAGCUGAAGAAGCCGGGCGUGCGGGCAGCUAGCCGCUGGCUGCUGCCGCGGAGUGCGCGGGCUCCGCUUGCCACGGAGCGCGAGGAGCUGCCGGGCGUGCGGGCAGCUAGCCGCUGGCCGCUGCCGCCGCCAGGCGCUGUCGUGGUGCGCCGGCCGCCACCGCCGCCGCCACAGAGCGCGCGGGCUCCGCUUGCCGCCAUGCAGAAGAUCUUGGAGUUCGGCACCGCCGAUUAGGUCCCCGGCUUCAUAUUAGAAGCUAUCCAGGCAAGUUAUCUCCGCGCGGGAGACGACCGUGGGAGCUAGCCCCCGUGGGGCGAGCAACUCUACCUGGCGGCAAGCGGGUCCACUCGGCGGCGAGCAACGGCGAGCGGAUCCGCGUGGCUGGCGCUGCGCGGCCGGCGAGAAGCUCUGCGCGGGAGUCGGCCGUGGGAGCUAGCCCCCGUGGGGCGAGCAGCUCUACCCGGCGGCGAGCGGGUCCACCCGGUGGCGAGCAACGACGAGCGGCUCUGUGUGGCUGGCGAGGAGCUCCGCGGCGGGUGAGCCGCUCCGCGCGGCCGGUGAGGAGCUCCGUGGCGGGCGAGCAACUCCCGGCCGGCGAGGGUCUCCGCGGCGGCGAGCAGCUCCGCGUCGAGCCGUGAAGUGUGGGCGGCCGCCGAGGAGUCCAGUGGGCGAGCGAGAAGCCGCCGCCGUGGGUGAUUUUUUUUCUUUUUUUCUUACUUUUCUGAAAUAGAGAUGCAAGUGGAAUUGUAUGGAUUGUAUCUAUCUUGUGAUAGAUUCUUUGAAUGAUUUGCGAAAUAUAUGGAUUGUAUCUA